CAUUAUCCAAAAUGUGCUUUGUCCAGAAUAGUUUGUAUUCCUCUUUGGACUAACAAAUGAAAAGAAUUGGUAACAAUUUUGUUAUGCUAGAUGUGACCUUCUUUCUGUAUAAUUGGUUGUUGAAAUUUAUAGACUUUUAUCUUUUAAUCUUAUGAGCAUUAACUUGAAGUAAACAAACUUUACUAUUAAGUAUUGGUUUGAAUGGUCAUUCACAUUUUGAAGUAGAGCUGACUAGGAAUUAAACUUAUAAGAUUUAAUACCAUGAAUGACCAAUAUCUCAUUAACAACAGUUUGCAUGCUUGACUCGGUUUGAU
rnacentral:lncRNA from 1 species